rnacentral:rRNA from 1 species
UACGUAGGGGGCAAGCGUUGUCCGGAUUUACUGGGCGUAAAGAGCGCGCAGGCGGUCGUUCAAGUCGCGUGUGAAAGCCCCCGGCUCAACUGGGGAGGGUCACGCGAUACUGAUCGACUCGAAGGCAGGAGAGGGUAGUGGAAUUCCCGGUGUAGUGGUGAAAUGCGUAGAUAUUGGGAGGAACACCAGUGGCGAAGGCGGCUCACUGGACCGGUACUGACGCUGAUGCGCGAAAGCGUGGGGAGCAAACAGG